GCCUGUUUUACAAAAACAUGGUCUUUUGUCUUUAAUAUAAGAUUUAGCCUGCUCAAUGAUUUAAUAAAUAGCUGCAGUAAUUUGACUGUACAAAGGUAGCAUAAUCAUUUGUUUCUUAAUUGGAAACUUGUAUGAAUGGUUGGAUGAAAAAUAUACUUUCUUUAUUUUAUAUAAAAAAUUUUAUUUUUUAGUUAAAAAGCUAAAAUUUUGCUAUAGGACGAGAAGACCCUAUAGAACUUUAUUAUAACUUAUUUAUUAAUUUUAAAAAUAGGUUUUUAUAUGUCUGUUAUAAUUUGAUUGGGGUGAUGGAAAAAAUUAUAUAACUUUUUCUCUUUGUUACAUUUAUUGAUGUUUAUUUGAUCCUAUAUUAUGGAAUAUAAGUUUAAGUUACCUUAGGGAUAACAGCGUUAUUCUCUUGGAGAGUUCAUAUUGAUAAGAGAGUUUGCGACCUCGAUGUUGGAUUAAAGUUAGUUUUAGGGGUAUAAUAUUAAAAACUUGGUCUGUUCGACCAUUAAAUCUUUACAUGAUCUGAGGUCGACCGGACG
rnacentral:rRNA from 1 species